GAACGCGAAGAACCUUACCAGGUCUUGACAUCCUCUGACCGCUCUAGAGAUAGAGUUUUCCCUUCGGGACAGAGGUGACAGGUGGUGCAUGGUUGUCGUCAGCUCGUGUCGUGAGAUGUUGGGUUAAGUCCCGCAACGAGCGCAACCCUUAUUACUAGUUGCCAGCAUUGAGUUGGGCACUCUAGUGAGACUGCCGGUGACAAACCGGAGGAAGGUGGGGAUGACGUCAAAUCAUCAUGCCCCUUAUGACUUGGGCUACACACGUGCUACAAUGGAUGGUACAACGAGCAGCGAACUCGCGAGGGUAAGCGAAUCUCUUAAAGCCAUUCUCAGUUCGGAUUGUAGGCUGCAACUCGCCUACAUGAAGCCAGAAUCGCUAGUAAUCGCGGAUCAGCACGCCGCCGGUGAAUACGUUCCCGGGUCUUGUACACACC
rnacentral:rRNA from 1 species